rnacentral:misc_RNA from 1 species
GAUGAAGAACGUAGCGAAAUGCGAUAAGUAAUGUGAAUUGCAGAAUUCAGUGAAUCAUCGAAUCUUUGAACGCACAUUGCGCCCGCUAGUAUUCUAGCGGGCAUGCCUGUUCGAGCGUCAUUUCAACCAUCAAGCCCCAGGCUUGUGUUGGAGCCCUGCGACCGUCUGCAGCCUCCUAAAAUCAGUGGCGGGCUCGCUAUCACACCGAGUGCAGUAGUUUACUCUUCGCUCAGGACGUGUAGCGGGUUCCGGCCGUGAAACCCCCCAAUUUUCAAGGUUGACCUCGGAUCAGGUAGGAAUACCCGCUGAACUUAAGCAUAUCAAUAAGCGGAGGA